UAGGGAAUCUUCGGCAAUGGGGGCAACCCUGACCGAGCAACGCCGCGUGAGUGAAGAAGGUUUUCGGAUCGUAAAGCUCUGUUGUAAGAGAAGAACGUGUGUGAGAGUGGAAAGUUCACACAGUGACGGUAACUUACCAGAAAGGGACGGCUAACUACGUGCCAGCAGCCGCGGUAAUACGUAGGUCCCGAGCGUGGUCCGGAUUUAUUGGGCGUAAAGCGAGCGCAGGCGGUUUAAUAAGUCUGAAGUUAAAGGCAGUGGCUUAACCAUUGUUCGCUUUGGAAACUGUUCAACUUGAGUGCAGUAGGGGAGAGUGGAAUUCCAUGUGUAGCGGUGAAAUGCGUAGAUAUAUGGAGGAACGCCGGUGGCGAAAGCGGCUCUCUGGUCUGUAACUGACGCUGAGGCUCGAAAGCGUGGGGAGCAAACAGG
rnacentral:rRNA from 1 species